rnacentral:rRNA from 1 species
AUUGAACGCUGGCGGCAUGCCUUACACAUGCAAGUCGAACGGCAGCACGGGUGCUUGCACCUGGUGGCGAGUGGCGAACGGGUGAGUAACAUAUCGGAACGUAUCCAAUAAUGGGGGAUAACUAAUCGAAAGGUUGGCUAAUACCGCAUACGCCCUACGGGGGAAAGCUAGGGACCUUCGGGCCUGGCGUUAAUGGAGCGGCCGAUAUCUGAUUAGCUAGUUGGUGGGGUAAUGGCCUACCAAGGCGACGAUCAGUAGCUGGUCUGAGAGGACGACCAGCCACACUGGAACUGAGACACGGUCCAGACUCCUACGGGAGGCAGCAGUGGGGAAUUUUGGACAAUGGGCGCGAGCCUGAUCCAGCCAUUCCGCGUGAGUGAAGAAGGCCUUCGGGUUGUAAAGCUCUUUCGCAAGGGAAGAAAACUUAUCCUCUAACAUAGGAUGAGGUUGACGGUACCUUGAUAAGAAGCACCGGCUAACUACGUGCCAGCCGCCGCCGUAAUAC